CAGCAGCCGCGGUAAUACCGGCGGCCCGAGUGGCGGUAACUAUUAAUGGGCUUAAAGCGUCCGUAGCCGGGUUGGGAAGGCCUCCGGGAAAUCUGGCCGCUUAAAGGUCCGAAUGCCGGAGGAUACUCCCAGCCUAGGGAGCGGGAGAGGCAGAGGGUAUUCCCGGAGUAGGGGGGAAAUCCUAUAAUCCCGGGAGGACCACCUGUGGCGAAGGCGCUCGGCUGGAACGCGUCCGACGGUGAGGGACGAAGGCCAGGGGAGCAAACCGGAUUAGAUACCCGGGUAGUCCUGGCUGUAAACGAUGCGGACUUUGUGUCGGACAAGCUAUGAGCUUGUCCGGUGCCGGAGGGAAACCGUUAAGUCCGCCGCCUGGGGAGUACGGCCGCAAGGCUGAAACUUAAAGGAAUUGGCGGG
rnacentral:rRNA from 1 species